GACGAACGCUGGCGGCGUGCUUAACACAUGCAAGUCGAACGGAAAGGCCCUGCUUUUGUGGGGUGCUCGAGUGGCGAACGGGUGAGUAACACGUGAGUAACCUGCCCUUGACUUUGGGAUAACUUCAGGAAACUGGGGCUAAUACCGGAUAGGAGCUCCUGCUGCAUGGUGGGGGUUGGAAAGUUUCGGCGGUUGGGGAUGGACUCGCGGCUUAUCAGCUUGUUGGUGGGGUAGUGGCUUACCAAGGCUUUGACGGGUAGCCGGCCUGAGAGGGUGACCGGCCACAUUGGGACUGAGAUACGGCCCAGACUCCUACGGGAGGCAGCAGUGGGGAAUAUUGCACAAUGGGCGGAAGCCUGAUGCAGCAACGCCGCGUGCGGGAUGACGGCCUUCGGGUUGUAAACCGCUUUCGCCUGUGACGAAGCGUGAGUGACGGUAAUGGGUAAAGAAGCACCGGCUAACUACGUGCCAGCAGCCGCGGUGAUACGUAGGGUGCGAGCGUUGUCCGGAUUUAUUGGGCGUAAAGGGCUCGUAGGUGGUUGAUCGCGUCGGAGGUGUAAUCUUGGGGCUUAACCCUGAGCGUGCUUUCGAUACGGGUUGACUUGAGGAAGGUAGGGGAGAAUGGAAUUCCUGGUGGAGCGGUGGAAUGCGCAGAUAUCAGGAGGAACACCAGUGGCGAAGGCGGUUCUCUGGGCCUUUCCUGACGCUGAGGAGCGAAAGCGUGGGGAGCGAACAGGCUUAGAUACCCUGGUAGUCCACGCUGUAAACGGUGGGUACUAGGUGUGGGGUCCAUUCCACGGGUUCCGUGCCGUAGCUAACGCUUUAAGUACCCCGCCUGGGGAGUACGGCCGCAAGGCUAAAACUCAAAGGAAUUGACGGGGCCCCGCACAAGCGGCGGAGCAUGCGGAUUAAUUCGAUGCAACGCGUAGAACCUUACCUGGGUUUGACAUGGAUCGGGAGUGCUCAGAGAUGGGUGUGCCUCUUUUGGGGUCGGUUCACAGGUGGUGCAUGGCUGUCGUCAGCUCGUGUCGUGAGAUGUUGGGUUAAGUCCCGCAACGAGCGCAACCCUUGUUCACUGUUGCCAGCACGUUAUGGUGGGGACUCAGUGGAGACCCCCGGGGUCAACUCGGAGGAAGGUGGGGAUGACGUCAAGUCAUCAUGCCCCUUAUGUCCAGGGCUUCACGCAUGCUACAAUGGCUGGUACAGAGAGUGGCGAGCCUGUGAGGGUGAGCGAAUCUCGGAAAGCCGGUCUCAGUUCGGAUUGGGGUCUGCAACUCGACCUCAUGAAGUCGGAGUCGCUAGUAAUCGCAGAUCAGCAACGCUGCGGUGAAUACGUUCCCGGG
rnacentral:rRNA from 1 species